rnacentral:rRNA from 1 species
UGGGGAAUAUUGCACAAUGGGCGCAAGCCUGAUGCAGCCAUGCCGCGUGUGUGAAGAAGGCCUUCGGGUUGUAAAGCACUUUCAGCGAGGAGGAAGGUGGUGAACUUAAUACGUUCAUCAAUUGACGUUACUCGCAGAAGAAGCACCGGCUAACUCCGUGCCAGCAGCCGCGGUAAUACGGAGGGUGCAAGCGUUAAUCGGAAUUACUGGGCGUAAAGCGCACGCAGGCGGUUUGUUAAGUCAGAUGUGAAAUCCCCGAGCUCAACCUGGGAACUGCAUUUGAAACUGGCAAGCUAGAGUCUCGUAGAGGGGGGUAGAAUUCCAGGUGUAGCGGUGAAAUGCGUAGAGAUCUGGAGGAAUACCGGUGGCGAAGGCGGCCCCCUGGACGAAGACUGACGCUCAGGUGCGAAAGCGUGGGGCAGCAAACAGGAUUAGAUACCCUGGUAGUCCACGCUGUAAAACGAUGUCGAUUUUGGAGGUUGUGCCCUUGAGGCGUGGCUUCCGGAGCUAACGCGUUAAAUCGACCGCC